UACGGGGGGAGCAAGCGUUGUUCGGAUUUACUGGGCGUAAAGGGCGCGUAGGCGGCGCAACAAGUCACUUGUGAAAUCUCCGGGCUUAACCCGGAGCGGCCAAGUGAUACUGUCGUGCUAGAGUGCGGAAGGGGCUACUGGAAUUCUCGGUGUAGCGGUGAAAUGCGUAGAUAUCGAGAGGAACACCUGCGGCGAAGGCGGGUAGCUGGGCCGACACUGACGCUGAGGCGCGAAAGCCAGGGGAGCAAAUGGG
rnacentral:rRNA from 1 species